rnacentral:rRNA from 1 species
UACGAGGGGUGCAAGCGUUGCUCGGAAUUAUUGGGCGUAAAGGGUAGGUAGGUGGUCUCAUUUGUCUGAGGUGAAAGCCUUGAGCUUAACUCAGGAAGUGCCUUAGAAACGGUGAGACUGGAGUCCUGGAGAGGGUCGUGGAAUUCCCGGUGUAGCGGUGAAAUGCGUAGAGAUCGGGAGGAACACCAGCGGCGAAGGCGGCGACCUGGACAGGUACUGACACUCAACUACGAAAGCGUGGGUAGCAAACAGG